CGCGAAGAACCUUACCUGGGCUCGAAAUGUAGUGGAAUGGGGUAGAAAUAUCUCAGGCUCGCAAGAGACUGCUAUAUAGGUGCUGCAUGGCUGUCGUCAGCUCGUGUCGUGAGAUGUUGGGUUAAGUCCCGCAACGAGCGCAACCCUUAUUGCCAGUUGCCAUCGGGUCAUGCCGGGCACUCUGGCGAAACUGCCUCGGAUAACGAGGAGGAAGGUGGGGAUGACGUCAAGUCCUCAUGGCCUUUAUGUCCAGGGCUACACACGUGCUACAAUGGUCGGUACAAACCGUCGCAAACCCGUGAGGGGGAGCUAAUCGGAAAAAGCCGACCUCAGUUCGGAUUGGAGUCUGCAACUCGACUCCAUGAAGCUGGAAUCGCUAGUAAUCGCAGAUCAGAACGCUGCGGUGAAUACGUUCCCGGGCCUUGUACACACCGCCCGUCACAUCACGAAAGUGGGCUGCACUAGAAGCCGGUGUGCUAACUCGCAAGAGAAGCAGCCGUCCAAGGUAUGGCUCAUGAUUGGGGUGAAGUCGUAACAAGGUAGC
rnacentral:rRNA from 1 species